UACGGAGGGUGCAAGCGUUAUCCGGAUUCACUGGGUUUAAAGGGAGCGCAGGCGGAUUUGUAAGUCAGUGGUGAAAUCCUUGAGCUUAACUCGAGAACUGCCAUUGAUACUAUAAGUCUUGAAUAUUGUUGAGGUUUGCGGAAUGGGUCGUGUAGCGGUGAAAUGCAUAGAUAUGACGCGGAACACCUAUUGCGAAGGCAGCAGGCUGGACAAAGAUUGACGCUGAGGCUCGAAAGCGUGGGGAGCAAACAGG
rnacentral:rRNA from 1 species